CAGCAGCAGCCGCGGGAAUACGGAGGGUGCAAGCGUUAAUCGGAAUUACUGGGCGUAAAGCGCACGCAGGCGGUCUGUCAAGUCAGAUGUGAAAUCCCCGGGCUUAACCUGGGAACUGCAUUUGAAACUGGCAGGCUAGAGUCUUGUAGAGGGGGGUAGAAUUCCAGGUGUAGCGGUGAAAUGCGUAGAGAUCUGGAGGAAUACCGGUGGCGAAGGCGGCCCCCUGGACAAAGACUGACGCUCAGGUGCGAAAGCGUGGGGAGCAAACAGGAUUAGAUACCCGCGUAGUCCCUGUCUCUUAUAC
rnacentral:rRNA from 1 species